CUAUGACUUGCUCCAAACUGCAUGUGAUUAUCAUAAAGUGGGCAUGUUUGCGAUCAUUUUGACUGAUAUUGCAAUUGCGACAUGAUUUGCGAUAAUAGAGGGAAUGAUAUUUUUAUAUGAUUAUUCUCAUUUUCAUUGA